rnacentral:siRNA from 1 species
AAUGAUAUUAGACCGUCGGGUCCU